rnacentral:rRNA from 1 species
GACGAACCGUGCGAACGUUGUUCGGAAUCACUGGGCUUAAAGGGCGCGUAGGCGGGCGGCCGCGUCCGGGGUGAAAUCCCACGGCUCAACCGGGGAACGGCCUCGGGUACGGGCGGCCUCGAGGGGGGUAGGGGCGUGCGGAACUGUGGGUGGAGCGGUGAAAUGCGUUGAUAUCCACAGGAACUCCGGUGGCGAAGGCGGCACGCUGGACCCUCUCUGACGCUGAGGCGCGAAAGCCAGGGGAGCGAACGGG